rnacentral:rRNA from 1 species
UGCAGAAUCCCGUGAACCAUCGAGUUUUUGAACGCAAGUUGCGCCCGAAGCCUUUGGCUAAGGGCACGUCUGCCUGGGCGUC